ACGCAGUUCCUUAUUGCCGCUGAGAUGUAAAAAUGGCACUAUUUUGAGUCAUUUUUUUUUCAUUUCUGCUAUAUACACUGGUAGCUUUUUUUUUGUUAUCAGUGUUCUGGAACUGCAAUACAAGCUUAGCUCGAGAUGCGUGUACUGGUUUGCCUUUUUGCGAUCUGGUUCCUUUUCUCCUCGGGACAAUU
rnacentral:snoRNA from 1 species